rnacentral:rRNA from 1 species
GAUGAACGCUGGCGGCGUGCCUAAUACAUGCAAGUCGAGCGAAUGGAUUAAGAGCUUGCUCUUAUGAAGUUAGCGGCGGACGGGUGAGUAACACGUGGGUAACCUGCCCAUAAGACUGGGAUAACUACGGGAAACCGGGGCUAAUACCGGAUAACAUUUUGAACCGCAUGGCUCGAAAUUGAAAGGCGGCUUCGCCUGUCACUUCUGGAUGGACCCGCGUCGCAUUAGCUAGUUGGUAAGGUAGCGGCUCACCAAGGCAACGAUGCGUAGCCGAGCUGGUAGGGUGAGCGGCCACACUGGGACGGGGACACGGCCCAGACGCCUACGGGAGGCAGCAGUAGGGAAUCUUCCGCAAUGGACGAAAGUCUGACGGAGCAACGCCGCGUGAGUGAUGAAGGCUUUCGGGCCGUAAAACUCUGUUGUUAGGGAAGAACAAGUGCUAGUUGAAUAAGCUGGCACCUUGACGGUACCUAACCAGAAAGCCACGGCUAACUACGUGCCAGCAGCCGCGGUAA